UACGUAGGGGCCGAGCGUUGUCCGGAGUUACUGGGCGUAAAGCGCGCGCAGGCGGCUCGUCAAGCCUGACGUGAAAGCCCCCGGCUCAACCGGGGAGGGUCGUCGGGGACUGGCGGGCUUGAGGUCGGCAGGGGUUGGUGGAAUUCCCGGUGUAGUGGUGAAAUGCGUAGAGAUCCGGCGGAACACCGGUGGUGAAGACGGUCUCCUGGGCCGAGGGCUGACGCUGAGGCGCGAGAGCGUGGGGAGCGAACCGG
rnacentral:rRNA from 1 species